rnacentral:tRNA from 12 species
GCGGAAGUGGCGAAAUUGGUAUACGCGCUGGAUUUAGGUUCCAGUGCCGCAAGGCGUGAGAGUUCGAGUCUCUCCUUCCGCACCA